AAUGCAUCGAGAUCGAAAGCUCCGGCGCCUAAGGAUGGGUCUGCGGCCUAUCAGGUAGUAGUGGGUGUAGCGUACCUACUAGCCUACGACGGGUACGGGUUGUGAGAGCAAGAGCCCGGAGAUGGAUUCUGAGACACGAAUCCAGGUCCUACGGGGCGCAGCAGGCGCGAAAACUUUACACUGCGCGAAAGCGCGAUAAGGGGACCUCGAGUGCGUGCGCAAUGCGUACGCUUUUCAGAUGCCUAAAAAGCAUCUGGAAUAAGGGCCGGGCAAGACCGGUGCCAGCCGCCGCGGUAACACCGGCGGCUCAAGUGGUGGCCGCUAUUAUUGGGCUUAAAGGGUCCGUAGCCGGACCAGUUAGUCCCUUGGGAAAUCUUACGGCUUAACCGUAAGGCUGCCAAUGGAUACUGCUGGUCUUGGGACCGGGAGAGGCAAGAGGUACCUCAGGGGUAGGAGUGAAAUCCUGUAAUCCUUGAGGGACCGCCAGUGGCGAAGGCGUCUUGCUAGAACGGGUCCGACGGUGAGGGACGAAAGCUAGGGGCACGAACCGGAUUAGAUACCCGGGUAGUCCUAGCCGUAAACGAUGCGAGCUAGGUGUCACGUGGAUUGCGAAUCCAUGUGGUGCCGAAGGGAAACCGUGAAGCUCGCCGCCUGGGAAGUACGGCCGCAAGGCUGAACUUAAAGGAAUUGGCGGGGGAGCACCACAACGGGUGGAGCCUGCGGUUUAAUUGGAUUCAACGCCGGG
rnacentral:rRNA from 1 species